rnacentral:rRNA from 1 species
GACGAACGCUGGCGGCGUGCUUAACACAUGCAAGUCGAACGGAAAGGCCCUGCUUUUGUGGGGUGCUCGAGUGGCGAACGGGUGAGUAACACGUGAGUAACCUGCCCUUGACUUUGGGAUAACUUCAGGAAACUGGGGCUAAUACCGGAUAGGAGCUCCUGCUGCAUGGUGGGGGUUGGAAAGUUUCGGCGGUUGGGGAUGGAUUCGCGGCUUAUCAGCUUGUUGGUGGGGUAGUGGCUUACCAAGGCUUUGACGGGUAGCCGGCCUGAGAGGGUGACCGGCCACAUUGGGACUGAGAUACGGCCCAGACUCCUACGGGAGGCAGCAGUGGGGGAUAUUGCACAAUGGGCGGAAGCCUGAUGCAGCAACGCCGCGUGCGGGAUGACGGCCUUCGGGUUGUAAACCGCUUUCGCCUGUGACGAAGCGUGAGUGACGGUAAUGGGUAAAGAAGCACCGGCUAACUACGUG